GGUGCCACAUAAGACGCAUCGAGGGUCAGUGUUUAACGCGCGCGCGCGCGUUUCUCUUUUAACAAUAACACUAUUAUAUAUUUCUCACUAACUUAUAAACGAGUACGUGUAUUACUUCUAACCCCCCUUCCACUAAACAACAAUAUAACGUGAUUAAAAGUUUUAAUAAUUAAUGAAUAAUAAUAAUAAUAUUCAAAGUGUUAACGACGACAACGAACGUAAUACGGUUGACUACUAGUUAUACAAAUUCGACUAUCGUAUUUUCUAUUAAUAACAAUUGUUAUACGUGGAAGAAGAAACCGCUAAAGAGAAAGAGAGAGAGAGAGAGAGUGAGAGAGAAAGAAAGAAAGAAAGAAAGAAGGAACGAAAGAACGUGAAAACACAAAAGAAGACCAAAAAAAACAACGAAAACGAGAUUCAGUGCAAAAGGAUCUUCGUUGAACAAUCGAAGCCGAUUGAAUGAAAAGAAAAAGGACAGAUAGUUUAGUUAACGUAAUAACUAAGAAAAAAAUAAAGAAAGAGAUAGAGUGAGUGAGUGUGAGAGAGAGAGAGAAAGAAGAGAGUGGGCGAGGGGGGUGACUAGUUUAUAAAAUUGAAGAAAGGACAGAAAGGAGAGAAAGAAAAGAAUUCUAUUACGAAACGUACAUUGGGAAGAACGCCGCGUCACGAUGUGUUGCUGUGUGUGUGUACGGUGUAAAGUGUUGGUGGUAAAAUAGUGAUAACUGAGAUUUUUUUUAUAUAUAUACAUAUAUAUAAAGAUCUUUAAAAAGCUUCCUCGAAACUAUAUUAUUGACAAAAAGAAAAAGAAAGGGAAACAAAGAAAACUACUACGCGCAAGUUUUACACAAGUUGGUACGAAUUGGCAGCUUUUUAAAGAAGCUUGCCGGUUCGUUUCCGGCAUUCUGCAGUUUUGUCUCUUUUUGACUGCAAUCUUUGAUAUCGGGCUUGUUGUUGUUUCUAUCAUCUGCCCCGGGAUCCACGCUUUCUGAUAAGCGUGCGCCGAGGCAGAGAAGCAUCGAAUAGAAAAAGAAAAAAAAAAA